rnacentral:rRNA from 1 species
UACGUAGGGUGCGAGCGUUAAUCGGAAUUACUGGGCGUAAAGCGUGCGCAGGCGGCGCGUUAAGACAGGUGUGAAAGCCCCGAGCUUAACUUGGGAAUUGCGCUUGUGACUGGCGUGCUGGAGUGUGGCAGAGGGAGGUGGAAUUCCACGUGUAGCAGUGAAAUGCGUAGAGAUAUGGAGGAACACCGAUGGCGAAGGCAGCCUCCUGGGCCAGCACUGACGCUCAUGCACGAAAGCGUGGGGAGCAAACAGG